AUUGAACGCUGGCGGCAGGCCUAACACAUGCAAGUCGAGCGGAUGACGGGAGCUUGCUCCUGGAUUCAGCGGCGGACGGGUGAGUAAUGCCUAGGAAUCUGCCUGGUAGUGGGGGACAACGAUUCGGAAGGAACGCGAAUACCGCCUACGUCCUACGGGACAAAGCAGGGGACCUUCGGGUCUGGCGCUAGCAGAUGAGCCUAGGUCGGAUUAGCUUGUUGGUGGGGUAAUGGCGCACCAAGGCGACGAUCCGUAACUGGUCUGAGAGGAUGAUCAGUCACACUGGAACUGAGACACGGUCCAGACUCCUACGGGAGGCAGCAGUGGGGAAUAUUGGACAAUGGGCGAAAGCCUGAUCCAGCCAUGCCGCGUGUGUGAAGAAGGUCUUCGGAUUGUAAAGCACUUUAAGUUGGGAGGAAGGGUUGUAGAUUAAUACUCUGCAAUUUUGACGUUACCGACAGAAUAAGCACCGGCUAACUACGUGCCAGCCGCCGCAGUAAUAC
rnacentral:rRNA from 1 species